CAGACGACGCUGCGGCAUGCUAAACAUGCAGUCAGCGGAACGAUAUAGCUGCUAUCAGGCGUCGAGCGGCGGACGGGUGAGUACACUUAGGAAUCUACCUAGUAGUGGGGGAUAGCUCGGGGAAACUCGAAUUAAUACCGCAUACGACCUACGGGAGAAAGGGGGCAGUUUACUGCUCACGCUAUUAGAUGAGCCUAAGUCGGAUUAGCUAGAUGGUGGGGUAAAGGCCUACCAUGGCGACGAUCUGUAGCUGGUCUGAGAGGAUGAUCAGCCACACCGGGACUGAGACGCGGCCCGGACUCCUACGGGAGGCAGCAGUGGGGAAUAUUGGACAAUGGGGGCAACCCUGAUCCAGCCAUGCCGCGUGAGCGAUGAAGGUCUUCGGAUCGUAAAGCUCUGU
rnacentral:rRNA from 1 species